CCUCCCCUCCCUUCUGCCUUUAUUUCCUUUUCUUCUACAAUGUUAAGAAGCAGUAACAAGGAGUCAGGAUUGGGGUCACAUACCCCAGAGCCCUCUUCACCUUCGUUCUUCCCGAAUUCUUGAAAGACUAGAGACAAACCACUAUUUUAACUCCUAGGUCUACAUCUUGUUUCUUACAGUUUUAGAACGAAUCUCCAAGCCGAAGCUCUUCACAUAUUAAAUGAGCAUGAAUUCUACUUAUAUCGUCACAGAAACGAAAAAUUGAAAACUGCAGGGAAUUUGUGGGCAGCAGGCCAUGGUUUCUCACUUUGAGGCUUGCUCAUCAUUGUGACAGCACCAUGCAAGACACCUGGUUAGAAAGAUUACAGCUGGUCUUUGCACCUGAUCUGUGAAGUCGCCAUAGAGUGGAGGCCCUGAGUGAUGCUCACAUGGAAGAGGCAGGCUGUGGAGGAGUGUCUCCUUUCUGCAUGCAAACUACUGACUGCACUGCCAUUCUGUUUCAGAAAUUAUAAAACAAGGGUGUAUUAUGCCGGAAAACUUGCCACGAAACUCCUGUGAAACAGCUAGAAGAAAAGGGAGUAUGCCUCAACUCAUAGGCUGAAACGAGGACUUCCUGAACAGGAAUCUGGGUGCACAACAACUGAUGCAUUGGGGCUCACACAGUUAAACACUUCUGGAAAGCAAAGGAAACUGACAACUAAGUGAGCAGGCAGCUCACAAAUUGAAAGAAAAUCUUUGCCAGCCAUAUCAGUAACAGAUUAGUGUCUUGAGUAUACAAAGCACUAAAUAUCGGUAGAACAAACAAGCCAAUUAAAAACAGACUAAAGAACUAAACAAAGAGUUCUCUAGUCUGAGAACAAGAAAUAUAAAUGACUAGUGCACUUUAAAAUGUGCUCAACAUCAGGUUAUAUUUAGGAAU